AACGAACGCUGGCGGCAGGCUUAACACAUGCAAGUCGAACGGUAGCACAGAGAGCUUGCUCUCGGGUGACGAGUGGCGGACGGGUGAGUAACGUCUGGGAAACUGCCCGAUGGAGGGGGAUAACUACUGGAAACGGUAGCUAAUACCGCAUAACGUCGCAAGACCAAAGUGGGGGACCUUCGGGCCUCACACCAUCGGAUGUGCCCAGAUGGGAUUAGCUAGUAGGUGGGGUAAUGGCUCACCUAGGCGACGAUCCCUAGCUGGUCUGAGAGGAUGACCAGCCACACUGGAACUGAGACACGGUCCAGACUCCUACGGGAGGCAGGAGUGGGGAAUAUUGCACAAUGGGCGCAAGCCUGAUGCAGCCAUGCCGCGUGUAUGAAGAAGGCCUUCGGGUUGUAAAGUACUUUCAGCGGGGAGGAAGGCGGUGAAGUUAAUAGCUUCACCGAUUGACGUUACCCGCAGAAGAAGCACCGGCUAACUCCGUGCCAGCCGCCGCGGUAA
rnacentral:rRNA from 1 species